CCUACGGGGAGCAGCAGUGGGGAAUAUUGGACAAUGGGCGAAAGCCUGAUCCAGCCAUGCCGCGUGUGUGAAGAAGGCCUUCGGGUUUUAAAGCACUUUCAGUGGGGAAGAAAGCCUUGGGGCUAAUACCCUCGAGGAAGGACAUCACCCACAGAAGAAGCACCGGCUAACUCCGUGCCAGCAGCCGCGGUAAUACGGAGGGUGCGAGCGUUAAUCGGAAUUACUGGGCGUAAAGCGCGCGUAGGCGGUCUGAUAAGCCGGUUGUGAAAGCCCCGGGCUCAACCUGGGAACGGCAUCCGGAACUGUCAGGCUAGAGUGCAGGAGAGGAAGGUAGAAUUCCCGGUGUAGCGGUGAAAUGCGUAGAGAUCGGGAGGAAUACCAGUGGCGAAGGCGGCCUUCUGGACUGACACUGACGCUGAGGUGCGAAAGCGUGGGUAGCAAACAGGAUUAGAUACCCUAGUAGUC
rnacentral:rRNA from 1 species